UGUCCCGUUGCUGCUGAUAUAAAAAUUUAUUCUGUGCUGCGCUGCGCCUGUAUUGCCCUGGCCAAACUCUAUAAAAGGGGCACUCGCCACUUGAAAGUGCUCUCACUUUGAUCGUAGCAUCGAGCUGUUUGGACGCAAAUUAUUCUUCCGUGCGAGCUGAAUUUUUUUAUUUUUAGGCGGCUUUACUAUUUUUGAACGGUCUUAUUAUUUUUGCACAGCUUUACAAUUUUUGGACGGCUUUUUCUUUUCUGAUUUUCUUUUGAAAGUGCGUUGGAUUUUUACUGGUGCUUGUUAUGGCCUCCCGGAAACUAGCCCACGGUGCCCGUAAUGGAAAUGGCAGCCGUUUUGAAUAUGACCCUUUGUUGUUGCAAUGCUACAAUUGUCAACAACUUGGGCAUUUGUCCAGGGGAUGUCGCGCUAGGCCCAUCUGCAGCAAAUGUGCAAAUAAUCACAGUACCAAUGUCUGAAAAUAUAUUAAAUUGACAAUUUGAAAAUUGAAAUAUAAAAACAAAGAAGAUUUAAAAAAAAGCUCUCUCCAGGAGCCCGCCAAUUCUAUGGAAAGUCUCCCGGAACAAACGUUGCCCUUUGGGUAAUACUCCGGGAGACUUUCCCAACCCUCAUCCACAACUGAUUGGGCCCUAAAGCUGUGAGGACUUAGAAAAAAGCCCGCCAAUCUUUGAAACAUAAAUAAAAUUGUUGAAAUUAAUGAAAUUGUUAAUUAAAAAAAUAAAAUAAAAUAGAAAAGAAAAACUAAUAAAAACAAAAAAAAAUCUCACGGACGAGCAACACAUGAGGCAAUUUAUAGGAUUCUUUGUGUGAUGGAGCAAACAGUUUGAGCAUUUAUUGGAGCACCGUGGAUAUUAUAGUGGGAGAGAAUAAGAUAAGUUCCAUAGCAUUCUGAUGUAGGACCCCUUGUAAGAUAUUCGUUUCUUCUUUUCUCGUUUCAGGUUGCCUCCCCUCUGUUGGAAUGCAGCGUUGGAUUUUUGAAUGAGGGCGUAGAUGCCAGGCGAUUAGAGGCAGGAUUAUGCAAAUUGCUCUCACGGACGAGCACAUCAUGAGGCAAUUUGUGGGGUUCGUCGUCUGAUGCAGCAAAUAUUUUGGACAUCUAUUGGAGCACCGUGGAUACGGCAUGUUGUCAGAAAAUUGGGCGUCGUCGCAAGGGAGCAUCAGGUCAUCUCGUCGUCAAGGUACAUGUUUCAUUCUUGCAUGGAAUGUCGUCAGGUGUAUAAAGUAUCACAGAUGGUUGAGAGUCAGCAGUCAACAUCGUUAUAAAUAUUCAACAUUUAUAUUGCAAGGAAGAUGUACAGAGAAGACAAGUUAACUAUGUCACAAGGUUCGCAGAGAUGAUGCAGGCAUUGAGAACAGGAUUAAAGACAACAUGUAACAAGUAAUUCUGGCGGGGUGCUGUCAGUAGAUGUGCAUUCGCUUCUUUGUCAUAUUUCUCUUUGGAGAUAAUAUUUGGCGAAGGAUAAUGUCAUUAAUUCCUUUUCCUUUUUCCAGGUUUCCGGUGCUUAGGAGGUAAAAAAAAAAUUUGGGAAAAUUGGGGAAUACUCCGGGAGACUCUCCGUUCCCUCGACCACAACCGACUGGGCCCUGGAGCAGAAAGGAAGUGUGGCAUUAAAGCCCGCCAACGUAAUUUUGAAAUUAUAAAAUUGUUAAAUGUUAUUUGCUUUUUAAAAAUUGUUAAAGCCAAAGUCUAAAUUGAAAGAAAUAAAACACAUUAAAAAAUAAAAAAAUAUAUAAAUAUUUCCUCUGCCGCGCUGCGCCGCUUCUGCCCUGCCAAACUCUAUAAAAAGGGCACCAGCCACAUGACGGUGCUCUUACUUUGAUCGUGGCAUCGAGCUGUUUGGUUGUAAAAACAUUCCUCCGCGCAAAUUGAAUUUCUUUUAUUCGAACGGCUUUAUUAUUAUAUUUUUGGACGGCCUUAUUAUUUUGCGGACGACCUUAUUAUUCUUUGAACGGUUUUAUUAUUUUUCAAACGGCAUCUUUAUUGAACGGCAUUAUUAUUUCCGGACGGCCUUUUUAUUUUUUUUUGGACGGCUCAAUCACCAUUCCUGAACGGCUUAUACUUCUGGACGGCCCUUCUCCUGUUUCUUAUUUUUUGUUUCUUUUGUUGUUGGAAGUGCAUUGGAUUCUCCUUAUUGAUGCUUAUCAUGACCUCCUGCAAACCCAACGACGCCUCUAAUGGAAAGAGCACCAGCACCUAUAAACACUACUUAUUGAGACAAUGCCACAAUUGUCUGCAACAUGGGCACACAUCCAGGGGAUGCAGAGCAUUGACCAUAUGUAGCAAAUGCUCCGGCCAACACAAAACUAAUGUCUGCCACGAAUUUCGGGCCCCGCCUAAAUAUGCUAACUGUGACGGCCCACACCCGGCGAACUACAAAGGCUGUCCCUACUUUCUAGCACAAAAAGGCCUCCCCAGACGUGCUUGGCAAAUCAAUAAUCAUGAAAAUGGCUUGGUGAUAUUGACAGAAAAAAACAAACUAAAUUGUGAAUAAAUUUGAAUUAAUUCCAAGUGCUAAUGGUUCUAUAAUCUAAUCCAAUGGACUACAACAACUGCCCAAAUUAAAUCUCUGCUCCCGUAAAAGUUUUUCCCACCCCUGUCCUCAGUGUCUCACACACACGUGGCGACCACUAACUAAAUAUAUAAUUCUGUGAUGUAAUGUUAAUGCUUUUUGCUAAUUAAAGCAAAUAUUGCUAAUAAAAAAAAAAAAGAAUUU